UGCAGCCGGGGAGUUAGCGGUGCCCUGUACCUGCAAUCCGCUAUAGCAGGGGUGAUGGUCGAUUUCGGGGUGCUUCUUGUGAGGCUGCCCCGGGUAAGUGGCGUUGAGGUUUUGGUCUUGCGCGACGGAAAUCUGUGAACCGUGUCAGGUCGGGAACGAAGCAGCACUAAGCAGAACCUUUCGGGUGCCGCAGGGGUGCCGGGGCUGAGUUAACUGCCUGGGUAACGCUUAUGA
rnacentral:SRP_RNA from 1 species